AGCAGCCGCGGUAAUUCCAGCUCCAAUAGCGUAUAUUAAAGUUGUUGCAGUUAAAAAGCUCGUAGUUGAAUUUCGGGGUCUGUCCAUUGGUCGGGCUUCACGGUCCGUACUGGUGAGAUGGGUUCCUACCUUCUGAAUAACCGGCAUGCCAUUCAGUUGGUGCGCUGGGGAAGCAGAGCUAUUACCUUGAAAAAAUUAGAGUGCUUAAAGCAGGCUAGUGCUUGAAUAGAUUAGCAUGGAAUAAUAAAAUAGGACGGCAUGGUUCUAUUUUGUUGGUUUCUAGGAUCACCGUAAUGAUUAAUAGGGAUAGUUGGGGGCAUUAGUAUUCAAUUGUCAGAGGUGAAAUUCUUGGAUUUAUU
rnacentral:sRNA from 1 species